AGCAUAGUUGUGCUUAUCUGCAGGAACAAGGGCCGCCCAGCUAGAGAUUGCCGAUGCUAUUCUCCGCAACUCAAUUAUUUGCUUUCUCUCCUCAUCUCGUCUGGCCAUCUGCCACAAGUAGCGGCUUCAAGCCACGGUAUCAAGCUAAUGGGGGAUCAUCAAAUCCUUGAGCAAAACAAGGAGAUAGAGUCCCAUCCACCCUUAAUUUCUUUUGCUUCUUUUUCCCUGGUGGGAAAGAAAACAAGAACUUAGGGUUGCAAUGCCAGAAUCUCUCAGAAUGAGAAGCCAGUUUAACGCCCCCUUUUGUAAGGACGGAAAUGCUCAAUUUGUACCCUAGCCACCAU
rnacentral:sRNA from 1 species